rnacentral:rRNA from 1 species
AAGCAUGAACGCUGGCGGCGUGCCUAAUACAUGCAAGUCGAACGAGUUCUCGUUGAUGAUCGGUGCUUGCACCGAGAUUCAACAUGGAACGAGUGGCGGACGGGUGAGUAACACGUGGGUAACCUGCCCUUAAGUGGGGGAUAACAUUUGGAAACAGAUGCUAAUACCGCAUAGAUCCAAGAACCGCAUGGUUCUUGGCUGAAAGAUGGCGUAAGCUAUCGCUUUUGGAUGGACCCGCGGCGUAUUAGCUAGUUGGUGAGGUAAUGGCUCACCAAGGCGAUGAUACGUAGCCGAACUGAGAGGUUGAUCGGCCACAUUGGGACUGAGACACGGCCCAAACUCCUACGGGAGGCAGCAGUAGGGAAUCUUCCACAAUGGACGCAAGUCUGAUGGAGCAACGCCGCGUGAGUGAAGAAGGCUUUCGGGUCGUAAAACUCUGUUGUUGGAGAAGAAUGGUCGGCAGAGUAACUGUUGUCGGCGUGACGGUAUCCAACCAGAAAGCCACGGCUAACUACGUGCCAGCAGCCGCGGUAAUACGUAGGUGGCAAGCGUUAUCCGGAUUUAUUGGGCGUAAAGCGAGCGCAGGCGGUUUUUUAAGUCUGAUGUGAAAGCCCUCGGCUUAACCGAGGAAGCGCAUCGGAAACUGGGAAACUUGAGUGCAGAAGAGGACAGUGGAACUCCAUGUGUAGCGGUGAAAUGCGUAGAUAUAUGGAAGAACACCAGUGGCGAAGGCGGCUGUCUGGUCUGUAACUGACGCUGAGGCUCGAAAGCAUGGGUAGCGAACAGGAUUAGAUACCCUGGUAGUCCAUGCCGUAAACGAUGAAUGCUAGGUGUUGGAGGGUUUCCGCCCUUCAGUGCCGCAGCUAACGCAUUAAGCAUUCCGCCUGGGGAGUACGACCGCAAGGUUGAAACUCAAAGGAAUUGACGGGGGCCCGCACAAGCGGUGGAGCAUGUGGUUUAAUUCGAAGCAACGCGAAGAACCUUACCAGGUCUUGACAUCUUUUGAUCACCUGAGAGAUCAGGUUUCCCCUUCGGGGGCAAAAUGACAGGUGGUGCAUGGUUGUCGUCAGCUCGUGUCGUGAGAUGUUGGGUUAAGUCCCGCAACGAGCGCAACCCUUAUGACUAGUUGCCAGCAUUUAGUUGGGCACUCUAGUAAGCUGCCGGUGACAAACCGGAGGAAGGUGGGGAUGACGUCAAAUCAUCAUGCCCCUUAUGACCUGGGCUACACACGUGCUACAAUGGAUGGUACAACGAGUUGCGAGACCGCGAGGUCAAGCUAAUCUCUUAAAGCCAUUCUCAGUUCGGACUGUAGGCUGCAACUCGCCUACACGAAGUCGGAAUCGCUAGUAAUCGCGGAUCAGCACGCCGCGGUGAAUACGUUGCCCGGGCCUUGUACACACCGCCCGUCACAACCAUGAGAGUUUGUAACACCCGAAGCCGGUGGCGUAACCCUUUUAGGGAGCGAGCCGUCUAAGGUGGGACAAAUGAUUAGGGUGAAG